rnacentral:rRNA from 1 species
GACGAACGCUGGCUGCGUGCUUAACACAUGCAAGUCGAACGCUGAAACCCUGGUGCUUGCACCGGGGUGGAUGAGUGGCGAACGGGUGAGUAACACGUGAGUAACCUGCCCCCGACUUCGGGAUAAGCCCGGGAAACUGGGUCUAAUACCGGAUAUGAGCGCCCCUCGCUUGAGGGAUGCUGGAAAGUCUUUUCGGUUGGGGAUGGGCUCGCGGCCUAUCAGUUUGUUGGUGAGGUAAUGGCUCACCAAGACGACGACGGGUAGCCGGCCUGAGAGGGCGACCGGCCACACUGGGACUGAGACACGGCCCAGACUCCUACGGGAGGCAGCAGUGGGGAAUAUUGCACAAUGGGGGAAACCCUGAUGCAGCGACGCAGCGUGCGGGAUGAUGGCCUUCGGGUUGUAAACCGCUUUCAGCAGGGAAGAAGCCCCUUGGGGUGACGGUACCUGCAGAAGAAGUACCGGCUAACUACGUGCCAGCAGCCGCGGUAA